rnacentral:tRNA from 2 species
GGGUGGUUAGUUCAGGGGGAGAACGCUUCCUUGACGCGGAAGAGGUCAGAGGUUCAAUUCCUCUACCACCCACCA